rnacentral:snRNA from 1 species
AGCUUUGCACAGUGGCAGUAUUGUAGCCAAUGAGGUUUAUCCAAGGCGCAUUUAUUGCUAAUUA